CUGAAAAUGGAUGGCGCUUUAGCGUUCUGCCCUAUACUCAACCGCCUAGAAUGGAGCUGGCACUUCGGUGCAGAGCCCGUAUAUUCUAGUGAGUAAGGAGGUGUGAUGGUAAGCGUUGAAGGGUCUGGGUGUAAACCUGCCUGGAGCUGCCAUCGGCACAGAUCUUGGUGGUAGUAGCAAAUACUCAAGUGAGAUCCUUGAGGGCUGACGUGGAGAAGGGUUCCAUGUGAACAGCAAUUGCACAUGGGUGAGUCGUUCCUAAGCCAAAGGCGAAAGCCACGCUCAUAAACUUGUGGCCACAUGAAUAUAUUAAGGGGAAUAUAUACCAAUCAUGCCAGAAACAGCACCAGUGGACAGGUUGUCCGUGAACGUGCUAGUGGAAGCAUAUAAUGAUUGGUCCCUAUUUCCCCCUAUUUUCGAGUGAGCCUGCAAGGAGUUUGGCGAAAGGGAAUCCGGUACUCAUUCCGGAACCUGGACAUGAGGAGUAGUGUUGCUUUAUGCAUCACAUAGCCGCAAGGCAUUACCAUCCUGGAGAAUCCAACCAGAGAGCCGGGAAGAGUUGUCUUUUCUGCUUAAGGGGAAGAGGGCCUUGUGAACUGGGUCGGUCAGAGAGAGGGUCUUUUCCCCGAAUAGCACCGCGGUUCUUGCGGAGUCCAGCUCCUCUGGUAUGGAACUUGAAAAUCCAGGGGUAAGAUGAAAUACCUUCAUGCCAGUUCGUACCCAUAUCCGCAUCUGG
rnacentral:rRNA from 1 species